UGAAAUUUUAAGAUAGCAGACGAAGAGUCAUGCCUUAUUCCCUGUUCUUUCAUCAUCUUCUCCCAAUUUUGCCCCCCAAUUCAAUGGAUUACGCCCAUAAUCAAGCCUACACCUGAAUAAGAUGACUCAAAGCGUCACUGCAAUUAGUAAAACAAUCAAUUAGGUCACAUCAUUGAAAUCAAUUCUUGACGAUUGGAUGGCAGCAACCCUAAUUCUCCCGGUGAAGAAGACGAACCGCACAAACGACUAAGUUUUCAUCCAUUUAUAUCCAGUUUCAUCAGAUUGUUAUAAAGGAGAGGUGUGAGGUUUCCCUUCACCACCAUUGUCAUCACCGUCGUUGCCAACCCCACUACCACUGUCUGACGCGAUGGUUGUUGCUUGCAGACCGAUUGAAGAUGAACGAAGGCAAGAUUAUUCAACACAUUCGGCGGACCACAGGAAGGGCACCAGAUUCUUUAGAGGAAGCUCGAAAUAUUAAAGAGUGACUCUUCAUAAAUUGGCAGAUGGGUGGCGCGUAUGGAUCAGCUUCUAGGGAAAAACUUGGUUUGCAGGCAUGUCUUCUUUGGAUUAUUCGACAAUGAAGUGGAAGCUACAGGAGUCUUGUAAUUCUUUAAUUACAUAAUCUUUGAAAGUUAAUGUGUUUAAUGACAUUUCAGAUCAUCAUUUAACAAUGUAAUGGUAGGGAAGCCAUGACCAACUUUGAGUCAAGCAUCUACGGGGAAGAUAGAAGUUUGGAAGCCAUGAAUCAAGUUGAAGGCCCCAAGUUGGGGUUUCAAGGCUGCUGGUGCAGACAAGAAGGCUGAGGCAUGUAGUCCGUGGGCACUGGUAAAGAUCCCUGGAAAUGUUGUUGGGCUACAAGGCUGUUGUUUGACACCAGUAUAUGGACUUUCAAAGGCCUACGCUCAUAAAGUUGAUAUGGACUUCGAUGUUGCUCUGUGUAUGAAGGUCCAACUAUGGGUUAAAAGUCUGCUGUUCAACCACACUAUACUCCUUAUCCAUAUUUGCAUUUGGUUGCUUUAGACAUAUUUUUGGGUAUGUCUUACUUUAAAACAUUUUCUUGUUUAAUGUACAAGGAGAUCUAUUUAUUCUUUAAUUUACUCGCUUCUCAGUCAAUCUCUUAGAUGAUAACAAGCUAAAAGGGCCAGAAAAGCUUUACUGAGUUGACGUCCAUGGUGGAGCUAUUGUCUAAGACUCUAAGUCACUUUUCACUUCUUUUUUUUGCCCUAUUUCUCUUUUUAUGCUGCCAACAAUUUUGUGAUAUAAUGUAGUUUUAGUGUUUUAUUUACGUUCAAAUCGUUGAAAAGAAUAAAGAUAUUUU
rnacentral:lncRNA from 1 species